GGGGGUGCUUUGGUUUCGACAGGAAUGUCAAAGCGGAAGUUGCAAGCAGAGGUCUCCGGUGGCCUCUUUAAAAACCGGAAACAAGAUAAGUGCCAACGACACUUACGCUCUGGCUGCCUAAUUAACGGCAACCCUGCAGUCGAUCCCCCGCCUUGCCGGUGAAAACUGCAGUCAUUUCGCGAGGCUGGGCGGUGCGAACGUCCUGGGCGCGCCGCCGAGAUCACAGGACUGGUCCCCGACCGAGCCGACCCCUGCGGGCGCGGGAAGGGACGAGAACCAAACCAGGGGGAAAGCUUGUAGGAGCGACCGGGGCGGUGUUCUUGGACAGGGGUUCGAAUCCCCUCACCUCCACUA
rnacentral:tmRNA from 1 species